rnacentral:rRNA from 1 species
AUUGAACGCUGGCGGCAGGCUUAACACAUGCAAGUCGAGCGGUAGCACAGGGGAGCUUGCUCCCUGGGUGACGAGCGGCGGACGGGUGAGUAAUGUCUGGGAAACUGCCUGAUGGAGGGGGAUAACUACUGGAAACGGUAGCUAAUACCGCAUAACGUCGCAAGACCAAAGAGGGGGACCUUCGGGCCUCUUGCCAUCAGAUGUGCCCAGAUGGGAUUAGCUAGUAGGUGGGGUAAUGGCUCACCUAGGCGACGAUCCCUAGCUGGUCUGAGAGGAUGACCAGCCACACUGGAACUGAGACACGGUCCAGACUCCUACGGGAGGCAGCAGUGGGGAAUAUUGCACAAUGGGCGCAAGCCUGAUGCAGCCAUGCCGCGUGUGUGAAGAAGGCCUUCGGGUUGUAAAGCACUUUCAGCGAGGAGGAGGGUGGUGAGCUUAAUACGUUCAUCAAUUGACGUUACUCGCAGAAGAAGCACCGGCUAACUCCGUG